UGAGUAACGCGUAAGAAUCUAGCUUCAGGUUCGGGACAACAGUUGGAAACGACUGUAAUACGGAUGUGCCACGGGUGAAAGGCUUGCUGCCUGAAGAAGAGCUUGCGUCCGAUUAGCUAGUUGGUAAGGUAAGAGCUUACCAAGGCAUCGAUCGGUAGCUGGUCUGAGAGGAUGACCAGCCACACUGGGACUGAGACAAGGCCCAGACUCCUACGGGAGGCAGCAGUGGGGAAUUUUCCGCAAUGGGCGAAAGCCUGACGGAGCAAUACCGCGUGAGGGAAGAAGGCUCUUGGGUUGUAAACCUCUUUUCUUAGGGAAUAAAAAAAUGAAGGUACCUAAGGAAUAAGCAUCGGCUAACUCCGUGCCAGCAGCCGCGGUAAUACGGAGGAUGCAAGCGUUAUCCGGAAUGAUUGGGCGUAAAGCGUCCGCAGGUGGUACAACAAGUCUAGUGUCAAAGACCGGGGCUCAACCCCGGAAAGGCGGUGGAAACUGUUGAACUAGAGGGUCGUAGGGGUAGAGGGAAUUCCCAGUGUAGCGGUGAAAUGCGUAGAGAUUGGGAAGAACAUCGGUGGCGAAGGCGCUCUACUGGACGGCAC
rnacentral:rRNA from 1 species